ACUUGCGUGCAUGCAACAUUUACUACUGCGGUAUAUAGUUAAUUAAUUAAAUUAACUUUAUGAGCACGUCCAUCUAGGUCUAGUCCAUGAAACAACCAGCCGUUGGAUUUAAACGGACGAGUGAGAUGGAUUCAAGAGGGGGAUUAAUCCGUGUGGGACGGCUAUUAACCAAUCGCAAGCCUUUCUUUCGUUCUUUCUUUCUUUCAUUAUUGAUUAUUCCCUCUUGUCGACUCACAUUCACAUCCAUUCCUCCCGCAUCGGGGGGGCGCGGCCACCCACCGCCUCGUCUCCCUCAGACCAACCUCGCCGCCGGCCAUGGCCUCCACCGCCCUCUCCUCCCCUCCCCUCCCUCAUCACAAGCGAAGAGAGAAGAGAGGAGAAGAGGUAGAUCGGCCGACCAGGUCAGGCGGCGGCGACAGCCCAGAUCGGCGCGCCGGCACAGGACCUCCGGCGAUGAGGCCAUGCCCUCGUGAGGAGACGGCUGCCUCGACGGAGAUCCCUUCCGCCGUCUGUUCGAAUCGACCAUGGACCUAAUUCUUCCGUCUGCUCGGGACCAACCCUAGCGCCGCGCCGCGCCGCGCGGAAGUGCAGGUGAGACGCCGCCGCCGCCAACACACCACAUGCCCGUGACCAAGCUCCUCAAGACACAGGUUGGUUCGUUCAAGGGCGACGGCUCCUUCUCUGACAGCCAGCCCGCCCGUCUCGCCGGAUGUCGACGACAGCAGCGACCUGACCUGUUUGUCAAGGGGGAGAAGAAGGAGGACCACCGGGGCUCGUCAUGGCGCGCUUCAACAACAACACGAGGAGAGGCAAGAGAGACCUCUCAAGCAAAGGAAUGCCAUUCUUAGAAGUCAAGUCUUGUAGCUUUUCUUCUUCAAGGAAAUGAAGACGGAUUAUCAUGUCUUUGGCGCGCAACUUAAUUUGUUGUCUCUGUAGCUGUAGCCAGUGCUGAUAUAUAGCUCAAGGCUCUUCUUUUGCCCCGUGGGCUGAAUAUGUUGUGAUCUCCCUCUGGAUGCCUCCAGUUUGGCAUAGGACCCGACCUGUUUGUCAAGGGGGAGAAGAAGGGAGGACCACCAGGACUCGUCAUGGCACGCUUCAACAACACCAAGGGGAGAGGCAAGAGCAGCCUCUCAAGCAAAGGCCCAUGACCCCUACAUGGCCAGCCCUCAAGCAAAGGAAUGCCAUUCUUGGAAGUCAAGUCUUGUAGCAUUUCUUCUUCAAGGAAAUGAAGCCGGAAUAUCAUGUCUUCGGCGUGCAACUUAAUUUGUUGGCUCUGUACUGUAGCCAAUGAUGAUGUAUAGCUCAAGGUGUCCUCUUUUGCAGAUGUCUAACGAAAUAGCAAGACAUGCUCUGCGUUCUUUUCGAAAGUGCGGCUUCUCACAUACAGUGGUGCAGAUGCUGUGCUCACCCGAGACGCUCCGUGAGCUCGCCGAGGAAGCACACCGCCAGGGGCCCAAUGAGUAAGUACCUCAGUUGGGCCACCUUCCUGGAGCUCUACGUUGAUGAUGAGUUCUUUGGUGGACGCGACAUCACCGUUGGUAUGUAUAUAGACAAUAUCUGCCUUUCCUUCUCGCAUGAUUACUGUUCAGAACUUUUGAGACUCUCUUUUACAGACACACAUGUUAUUGGAGGGUAAUCUGUGAAGAAACCUAUUUUCUCUAGUAGCAUCAGUGCAUGGUACACGUCUUUGGUCUGACAUACAUUUAGUUGAGGGUGAUAUUAUGGAAACUUAUUGUCUGUGUACAUAGAUCAGGAAUACAUUCAUAUUGCCGUGCUGCGUGUACCUGAUCUUGUAGUCUGUUGGGUAUUUUCUGAGAGUGACAUCACGCUCCAGUUUCUAGUGUUUCGAUUGUGAGAAUCCAAUUUUUCCAUACUAGUAGUGUUUCUAGGUGGUUAUUUCAUUCCGCGACACAUGUAUCAGUGCUUCACAAUCAUAGUGAAGAAAUCAAUGCACUAGGAAAAAUGUUUAGGAGGCUAGAAAGCUGAAAAAACUUUUUUUUGUUUCGUUUCUAUGUCAAAUGACUGGGAACAGCUUCCUUGUGUCAAACUCCCCGCGACACUUUUCCCCUGUACCAGCCGUUCCCCUUCACAAUCGAUGCUAUAGGGGUUCAUUUUACCUACUCCAGGCAUGGUGUACAUCCGGUGGUCGUCAAGCAACCUCCGGUUCUUGCUGAAUGGGUUGUCAACCUCUUGGUGGUCGUCAAUCGAUGUUGCGCAUCAUGUCCAACAACAAUGUGAUGACUGACCCUCUGUUGGCUAUUUCCCACCAACGGCUUGAUGUUGUUAUGUGGUUGUGGUCAUCUCAUCACAAUUUUCAUUUUUGUUUGGAUAUGUUUGGCAUGGUUCACUGCAAAUGAACUGCUACGCUUUUGUUUUAUAUUAUCUCUGUAAAUGUUCUGUUAAGGUUUACAAAUGUCUACUCUUGUUGUGGUAUCAGUGUGGUGCAUAGGUAGGAUUUGGUUUGCUGGGGUUCUGACAGAGAUUGUAGCGCACAACGCUCCUUUGCAUGCCCUUCCCAGUUCUUAGUUUUUAGAGAUGAGAAUGAGGAAUAGCAUUCUGAUCGUGAAUUUCAUCAUGCUGGCCAUCGCGCCCUGGCAAGCUCUAAGGUUUCAGCUCUUGUGAUAGACAUGAAUCUCAUGCUAUGUGUGAUGCCCUUCUCAUGCUUGUUUGAUUCUUAGGGCUAGGUCCAUGUCCAUGACACUUGUACCAACCACAAGGCCAAUUUUUGUUGUUUAAACUGAAGAAUGCUUUGUUUCUUCCAUUGUUCAAACUGAGGAUACCUAGGCUUGAGACUAAACCCUCUGUUACUGUUUCCCACCCAUGGCUUGGUGUUGUUCUUGUGGUGGCUAUCAAUCUGGUGCAUAGGUAGGAUUUCAGUUGUUGUGAUCCUGACAGAGAAUGUAGCCCAUAGGUAGGAUUUAGUCAAUUAUCAAUCUGGUCCAUACUGUUUAAGUUUAGGCAAUUAUUCUCUUUUUGGAAUAGGACUCAGAUCGUGAAUCUCAUCCUAUCCAUCGCGCCAUGGCAAGUUCUAUCGUUUUCAGCUCUCGUGAUAUAGAUGAAUCUUAUGAUGUAUAUGAUGCCCUUCGUCUGCUUGUUUGAUUCCCAGGGCUAGGUCCAUGCUCACGACACUUGCACCCAAAUGCUAGGUCAAUUUUUGUUGAUCUCCAGCAACAACAACGAAAAUCGUGCCCCCCCUUUUGCAUUGAGUUAUCACACACGAGAUGCCAUUGUAGGAAUUCACUAGUAGAAAAGGGAGGCAAUGGUCCAGGCCAGGUCAGCCAUUAGUCCCGGUCCAAUCCAGAACCGGGACCAAUGGGGGCAUUGGACCCGGUUCGUUAGCCCCGGGGGCCGGCCGGGCGACGUGGGCCAUUGGUCCCGGUUUGUC